CCCAUGUCUAGAGUCACAUCCUGACAGCUCUCGUCCCGGUGUGCUGGAGCCUUGGAGAGCAUCUGCUGGUCUCGAUUCACUGUGAGGGCAAUCAGUGCCCCCAGGAGUGCCCAGAUCAGAAACGCCC